rnacentral:rRNA from 1 species
ACGAGGGGGGCAAGCGUUGUUCGGAAUUAUUGGGCGUAAAGCGCGCGCAGGCGGUUUCUUAAGUCUGAUGUGAAAGCCCACGGCUCAACCGUGGAGGGUCAUUGGAAACUGGGGAACUUGAGUGCAGAAGAGAAAAGCGGAAUUCCACGUGUAGCGGUGAAAUGCGUAGAGAUGUGGAGGAACACCAGUGGUGAAGGCGGGUCUCUGGGCAUUUCCUGACGCUGAGGCGCGAAAGCGUGGGGAGCAAACGGGA